rnacentral:rRNA from 1 species
CCUACGGGAGGCAGCAGUGAGGAAUAUUGGUCAAUGGCCGAGAGGCUGAACCAGCCAAGUCGCGUGAGGGAUGACUGUCCUAUGGAUUGUAAACCUCUUUUGUCAGGGAGCAAAGUAACCCACGUGUGGGUGUAGGAGAGUAACUGAAGAAAAAGGAACGGCUAAAUCCGUGCCAGCAGCCGCGGUAAAACGGAGGAUGCGAGCGUUAUCCGGAUUUAUUGGGGUUAAAGGGUGCGUAGGCGGGUUAUCAAGUCAGCGGUAAAAACGUGGAGCUCAACUCCAUCCAGCCGUUGAAACUGAUGUUCUUGAGUGGGCGAGAAGUAUGCGGAAUGCGUGGUGUAGCGGUGAAAUGCAUAGAUAUCACGCAGAACUCCGAUUGCGAAGGAAGCAUACCGGCGCCCGACUGACGCUGAAGCACGAAAGCGUGGGUAUCGAACAGGAUUAGAUACCCCAGUAGUC